CUUGCUUAGUCCCUUUCUCCCUCUCUCUCCCUCUCUCGCUUUCGUUCUCCCUCUAACACACUCUCUAUCUCCGUCUUUCCCUCCCACGUUCACUCACUCUCUCUCUAAAAUUCUCACUGUAGGCUGCGGGAACAAUCCAUUUCCCUCCAGGAGCCGGCCAAUCAGAGUGCGUGGGAAUGAAUGAUGUCACGGCAGCCCCGUACUAAUGUGGAGAGGGAGAACUGACUGAUCCCAUGCAGUGUUUAAGGCUUGCAGCUCUCUACCACCGGCAGUCCUCCUGGUUGAUCUGCUACUGUACUAUCUUCAAAAGGGAUCUGCUUUCAUUUUCCCGGGGAGGGAGUACUGUAUUGAACAGAAUACAACAGAGGUGAAUACAAUAUCUGGGCAUAUGUUUGUAUGACAUGAAGAAGGUAAUAUACACAGUAUACUCAGAAAAGUGUGCAUAGACAAUAUAGGCAAGUCCAGAACAGAAUACACAAUAUUUUGGUUUAAACAUUAUACAUUUGUAUGUGUGAUCUGUAUUGAAGUGGAAAUUGUGCUACUGCUUGUAAACGUCACCAUCAAACCAGGUGAAAAACACAGACUGCAGACAAUGGCAGCUUUGUUCACCCAACUCUGAAUUCAGCUUCUAAAGAGAUACAAGGGCAAGUGUUUCUAGAGCUGUGUUACUAGGAACUGACCAGGACACAAUUCCCCCAACCCUCUCCACUGCUGCAGUCAAAUUAUUGUGAAUUAUGAAAUAAACUAUAUUCUUUGUUGACCUCU